GGGGUUUUAUUCCUGUUAUGAUUCCGUCUUCCGUGUUCCAUGUUUUAUUACGAAUCUGUGUGCUUUCCUUUGCUUUCUCUGUUUUAUAUUACUUAUGGGUGCCGUAUUUAUGAUAUGUAACCUGCUUCUGUGCUUUACUAUGUGUUUGUGUGGUAUCUCGUGUCUUGAGCCGGGGGUCUAUCGGAAACAGCCUUUCUACUUCAUCAGAGGUAGAGGUAUGGACUGCGUACAUCUUACCCCCCCCAGACCCCACUAGGUGGGAAUACACUGGGUUUGUUGUUGUUGUUGUUGUUGUUG
rnacentral:lncRNA from 1 species